GAAGUCAAUUAUUACUUAAUUUACACAUGCAAGUCUCCGCCCCCCUGUGAAAACGCCCUUAAACCCCCUUAUGGGGCAAGGAGCUGGUAUCAGGCACAACAACUCUGCCCAAGACACCUAGCUUUGCCACACCCACAAGGGAAUUCAGCAGUGAUUAACAUUGAAUAUUAGCGAAAGCUUGAUUCAGUUAAAGUAUGUAGAGCCGGCUAAUCUGGUGCCAGCCGCCGCGGUUACACCAUGAGGCCCAAAUUGACCCUCUAUCGGCGUAAAGCGUGAUUAAAGCUACCAACAAUUAGAGUCAAAUUAAAACUAAGCUGUGACACGCUUGUAAUCAAGAAGCCCAAACACGAAAGUUACCCUAAUUAAAUCAACUUGA
rnacentral:rRNA from 1 species